UUUCUCUCCUUAUACAUUUUGUUCUUAUGUUUUGAAUUUAUUUCUUUAAUUUGUUUAUACCAUUAGGAUCAAUGGUAUUUAAGCUGGGGGGUAGAAAAAAUCUCUUGAAAUUUUUGAAAAAUUUUUUGGAUAUUCUUUUGAAAAUUUUUUAUAAAAAUCUUUUGAACUUUAAAAGAAAACUUUUCUUUUAAACCACGUGUC
rnacentral:lncRNA from 1 species